rnacentral:rRNA from 1 species
UGGGGAAUUGUUCACAAUGGGCGCAAGCCUGAUGACGCAACGCCGCGUGGAGGAUGAAGGUCUUCGGAUUGUAAACUCCUGUUGCUCGGGACGAAAAGCUCUGACCUAACACGUUAGAGUCUGACGGUACCGAGUGAGGAAGCCCCGGCUAACUCUGUGCCAGCAGCCGCGGUAAUACAGAGGGGGCAAGCGUUGUUCGGAAUUACUGGGCGUAAAGGGCGCGUAGGCGGCCCUCUAAGUCAGACGUGAAAUCCCCGGGCUCAACCCGGGAACUGCGUCUGAUACUGGAGGGCUUGAAUCCGGGAGAGGGAUGCGGAAUACCAGGUGUAGCGGUGAAAUGCGUAGAUAUCUGGAGGAACACCGGUGGCGAAGGCGGCAUCCUGGACCGGUAUUGACGCUGAGGCGCGAAAGCCAGGGGAGCAAACGGGAUU